rnacentral:tRNA from 1 species
GGGGAUGUAGCUCAAUAGUAGAGCACUUGCCUAGCAUAUGCAAGGCCCUGGGCUCCGCCCAUCCCCA